rnacentral:lncRNA from 1 species
UUUAUCAUUCGUAUGAUUCAUAUGGAUGACAAUAACUGGGAAAUAAUAUUUGGUAGGAGUAAGGAAAAAAACGAAAAAGGUAGAAGAAGGGGAAGGGUGUCCGGAAGUAUGAUUUGCACAACCUAGAAAAUGUGAAUCUAAAUUGUUGGUGAGUAAGAAAUGUUGGACAAAAAAGUUGAUUUAAUUUUAAAAUUGUUGGCGAGCCAAGAAAUGUUGAUUUAUGUUAACAAUGGUUUGCAAAUAUCAAAAAGUGCUGAUGAGUGUCUAAAAUAAAUUAAAGAAAAAUGUUUGGAAAAAUGUUGGUCACUCCUAAGAAAAAUGUUGGUUAGUCGUCAUCCUCCGGAAAAAAUGUUGGUGAUACUGUAAAAAUAGUUUGAAAACAUGUUGGUGUUUGGAGAAAAAUGUUGGACGAACAUCAAUAAAUGUUGUAUGCUUGUCAAAAAAAAUGUUGGUCAUCAUUGGGAAAAUGUUGGAGAGUGUGAAAAAUGUUGGCCAAACAUUUUAAGAAUAUAUUGGUAUAUGUUAAAAGAUGUUGGCAACCAUCAAUAAAUGUUGAACUAUGUAAAUGAAAUGUUAGUCUAUCAAGAAAAAAAUGUUGGUUAAGGUAAAUAAAUUGUUGGUCAAUACCAUGAAAUGGUACUAUAUGUCCGCAAUAAGUUAGUCUAUGUCAAUGAAAUGAAACAAUGGUGAAUAUCUAAAAAUUAAGUUAAAAAACUUUUGCAACUUUUUUACACGCACCAAAUUUUUUUACAUUCACCAAUAUUUUUUAGCUCAAUUUUUUUUUGACAUUCACCAACAUU